rnacentral:misc_RNA from 1 species
UCCUUGGUCAUUUAGAGGAAGUAAAAGUCGUAACAAGGUUUCCGUAGGUGAACCUGCGGAAGGAUCAUUACAGAAAGUAAACGCGGGUCAAACCGUGAACUUUUAAACCUUUGACGAUUGACUCAUGUUGCCUCGGCGGGCUCGCCCGCCAGAGGAUACAUCAAAACUCCUGUUUUAACGGCGUUGUCUGAGCUACAAGCAACGAAUCAAAACUUUCAACAACGGAUCUCUUGGUUCUGGCAUCGAUGAAGAACGCAGCGAAAUGCGAUAAGUAGUGUGAAUUGCAGAAUUCAGUGAAUCAUCGAAUCUUUGAACGCACAUUGCGCCCCUUGGUAUCCCGAGGGGCAUGCCUGUUCGAGCGUCAUUACACCACUCAAGCCUGGCUUGGUGUUGGGCGACGUCCCCUUUGGGGACGCGCCUUGAAAUGCUCGGCGGCGUGGCACCGGCUUUAAGCGUAGCAGAAUCUUUCGCUUCGAAAGUCGGGGCCCCGCCUGCCGGAAGACCUACUCGCAAGGUUGACCUCGGAUCAGGCAGGGAUACCCGCUGAACUUAAGCAUAUC